GCGGAGGAAAAGAAACCAACAGGGAUUGCCUUAGUAGCGGCGAGUGAAGCGGCAAAAGCUCAAAUUUGAAAUCUGGCUCUUUCAGAGUCCGAGUUGUAAUUUGAAGAAGGUAUCUUUGGGUCUGGCUCUUGUCUAUGUUUCUUGGAACAGAACGUCACAGAGGGUGAGAAUCCCGUGCGAUGAGAUGAUCCAGGCCUAUGUAAAGUUCCUUCGAAGAGUCGAGUUGUUUGGGAAUGCAGCUCUAAGUGGGUGGUAAAUUCCAUCUAAAGCUAAAUAUUGGCGAGAGACCGAUAGCGAACAAGUACAGUGAUGGAAAGAUGAAAAGAACUUUGAAAAGAGAGUGAAAAAGUACGUGAAAUUGUUGAAAGGGAAGGGCUUGAGAUCAGACUUGGUAUUUUGUAUGUUACUUCUUCGGGGGUGGCCUCUACAGUUUAUCGGGCCAGCAUCAGUUUGGGCGGUAGGAGAAUUGCGUUGGAAUGUGGCACGGCUUCGGUUGUGUGUUAUAGCCUUCGUCGAUACUGCCAGCCUAGACUGAGGAC
rnacentral:rRNA from 1 species